GUUGCUGCACAAUGGUGUUAAAUACAUGUUAGCUUGAGUAUUCCUUGCUUAAGAUUUUGAUACCAUUUUAUUAACAUGAGCAUGAAGCUAUUUAGGGUCGUCACAUGUGUCAAGUCAUGAUGGCUCUUCUGAAUUGUAGUAAGUGGCUACAUAUUUCUUGUUUUGUAGUGUUUCGUUAAAAUCUAAAAGUCUAGAUUGCCAUAUACAAUACCAUUUUGUUUUGGGAAUUAGAUAUUGGUUAUGUAAUUGAAAGCUUAAAGUAAGUGUCUUCCUUACUCUUUACUUCAUCUUAUAUAUAUGUGUGUGUGUGUGUCUAUAUAAAUUUCUUUACCCUAAAUGAAAUCUGAAAUGAACCUGUCACUUUUAUAACCUUUUAUGUUCUAGCUCUAUCAUAUUUCGAUGUAAUCAAGAUUUAAGUAGUUGUAUGUUUUUUUCAGGUACUUUCCCCUAGACUUGGUAGAAUUUUGCCUUAUUUGAUAUCAAGGAAGCAUAAAUGUUGCAGCUACAGGUAUAGAUAUCUAUUCAUAUAGCUACUGUUCUGUACAUAUCUCAUCACCUUACUCUAAGAGGACACAAUCAUUCAACCAUCAAUUUGAUAUAAUUCGACUUUCUCUGCAUUGAAAGCUAAUGCAACUGGAAGAAACUUCAAUUUGACAAGGGAAUUUCCUUGUGAUCUAGUAUUUGGAUAUGGUGUGAUUCUCUUGCUGUUUUGUGUGGAUAUUGAUUUGCACUUUGAGGAUAUAGGUACUGACUUUGAGCUCUCUACAUCGACUAACUUUGCAAAUGAACUCUGCACAGCUGGGUCUGAAUGGAGAGCUCUCAG
rnacentral:lncRNA from 1 species